rnacentral:lncRNA from 1 species
CGACGUAGAAUGAGAUCUCCAUCCCAUUUUUUGAAAAGCAAAAACUUGGUCGUUUUUCUGCUUUUGUUUGUUUUUAGCUGUAAAGAGUAAGGGCGGCGCACCCGGCUUCCUCUUGCUAAUCAGCCCGCAGACCUCCCUGCAGCCUCAGUGCCCGUGGCGGGCACGACACCUGCUGCGGCGUCUCCCUUGCUUCCCACCAAGGUCUAACCACUCGGGGCCUGAUUUCGUUUUCCCUGACUGAUGCCAGCGUGUUUUUCCCCACCGCGCGGCUGCAAAACAGCAUUCGCUAGCGUCUCCGAAGGACAGAAAAUAGCUAUUGAUUAAUCUAUUAGAUUAGUUGCCGAGAGAAAUAAAAACGACGUUAAAAACAAAACAAAACAAAAAACAGGGACCCUCUAAAGAAGCCGAAACUGGCUGCUUGGAGUUGCUUAGCGGUUUAGCAUAUGAAAAAGUCGGAAAUGAGGCGCUGGGGAAGGAGCCGGUAGUGGCCACUGCCUGGGCGUAGCCGUAGCCGCUGUGUCCGAGAUCGAACUUGUACGGGAAACCAGCGGCAGCGCGGGUGGUGGAGGCGAGGAGGUGGCCGGUGCACUCGGAGUUUCCUGCUUAGGAAAGUCAGCGAUGGUAGGCAAGACUGUGGGGACUUCACCGGGAACCGGGGGGCGGCGAGCGGCGUGGCUAGGGCGUGUGGACCCCACACCGCCGAGGGGGAUCGGAGCUUGGGACCCUUGAGUUUGCGGUGCGCCUGCCUCGGUGGCCGGCAUUUAGGCCGCCUUUCCACGAGUGGCGGGCUCCUGGAACCCAAGCCCAUCCUGGCUGCGGACCGCCUGGGGAGGGGAGGGCCGGCCUCAUCAGAGGAAGGAGCGCGAGAGGAGGGGGUUUGAGAGUCAGGAAUCGGUGAAAUAUUUACACAAGUCCCCGGGAAAGUGAUUUAAAUCCGGGUGGACAGUGCACCUUCUGCCUCUCUCAGUCCACCCGUGACCCCUGUCCUUUGCCUGGCACACUAAAUAAAUUAAAAACUAAAAAUAUAUAAACUUGCUCC